UACGUAGGGGGCAAGCGUUGUCCGGAAUCAUUGGGCGUAAAGCGCGCGUAGGCGGCCCGGUAAGUCCGCUCUGAAAGUCCAGGGCUCAACCCUGGAAAUCGGGUGGAUACUGCCGGGCUAGAAUCCGGAAGAGGCGAGUGGAAUUCCUGGUGUAGCGGUGGAAUGCGCAGAUAUCAGGAGGAACACCAAUUGCGAAGGCAGCUCGCUGGGACGUUACUGACGCUGAGACGCGAAAGCGUGGGGAGCAAACAGG
rnacentral:rRNA from 1 species